rnacentral:rRNA from 1 species
CGGUGGAUGAUGCGGUUUAAUUCGAUGCAACGCGAAAACCUUACCCACCUUUGACAUGUACGGAAUCCUUUAGAGAUAGAGGAGUGCUCGAAAGAGAGCCGUAACACAGGUGCUGCAUGGCUGUCGUCAGCUCGUGUCGUGAGAUGUUGGGUUAAGUCCCGCAACGAGCGCAACCCUUGCCAUUAGUUGCUACGAAAGGGCACUCUAAUGGGACUGCCGGUGACAAACCGGAGGAAGGUGGGGAUGACGUCAAGUCCUCAUGGCCCUUAUAGGUGGGGCUACACACGUCAUACAAUGGCCGGUACAGAGGGUAGCCAACCCGCGAGGGGGAGCCAAUCCCACAAAGCCGGUCGUAGUCCGGAUCGCAGUCUGCAACUCGACUGCGUGAAGUCGGAAUCGCUAGUAAUCGCGGAUCAGCAUGUCGCGGUGAAUACGUUCCCGGGUCUU